GGGGGUGUAGCUGAGGGGUAGAGCGUUCGCUUUGCAUGCGAAUAGUCCAGUGUUCAAAUCCCUGCAUCUCCA